AUGCCAACACUGUGAGGAGGAUUUUUGGCCUUGGAUCUGCAGACCUCGACAAUGAUCUUCUUUCUUGGCAUAUUACUUAUGGGCCUUUCAGGUAAUACCCAUGGGAAAGAAAUCACUCCAAACAGUGUUGAACUUAUCAAGGUGGAGGGAGAUGAUUUAACCCUCUCCUGUAGCUACAGCUCUGGAAACUAUCUACAGUGGUAUCGGCAGUACCCAAGAUCAGCACCCCAGUUUCUCUUGUUUAUCACCAGUCCUGAUACGCCAGGGACAUCAGAGGAGGAUACUCGAUUGUCUGGGAGAAUGAAUGAGGAGAGAAAUCAAAUGUUCCUGGACAUCUCAUCUGCUAAACUCACAGACUCUGCUCUCUACUACUGUGCCAUGAGGCCCACAAUGAAGGAAACAGGCACACUGUAGUACAAAAACUCACAUGACAUGACAUGAGAGGACUUGCACUAUACUGAACUCUCCUGCAUCACACCUUAGCCUUCUCUCCUUUCAAAAGCUGUGCACAAAGUGGUAACCACAGAGAUUAAAGACAUUAAUAAAUGCAUACUGUUCUUAUUCCAUA